UACAGAGGGUGCUAGCGUUGUUCGGAAUUAUUGGGCGUAAAGGGCAGGUAGGUGGUUUGAUAAGUCUGCUGUGAAAUCCCUGGGCUUAACCCAGGACUUGCAGUGGAUACUGUCAGACUAGAGUGCCGGAGGGGUGCGUGGAAUUCCGAGUGUAGCGGUGAAAUGCGUAGAUAUUCGGAGGAACACCAGAGGCGAAAGCGGCGCACUGGACGGUAACUGACACUCAACUGCGAAAGCGUGGGGAUCAAACAGG
rnacentral:rRNA from 1 species